UACGGAGGGUGCAAGCGUUAUCCGGAUUCACUGGGUUUAAAGGGUGCGUAGGCGGACAUGUAAGUCCGUGGUGAAAUCUCUAAGCUUAACUUGGAAACUGCCAUGGAUACUAUAUGUCUUGAAUGUUGUGGAGGUUAGCGGAAUAUGUCAUGUAGCGGUGAAAUGCAUAGAUAUGACAUAGAACACCAAUUGCGAAGGCAGCUGGCUACACAAAUAUUGACGCUGAGGCACGAAAGCGUGGGGAU
rnacentral:rRNA from 1 species